GUCGAGCGGUAGAGAGGUGCUUGCACCUCUUGAGAGCGGCGGACGGGUGAGUAAAGCCUAGGAAUCUGCCUGGUAGUGGGGGAUAACGCUCGGAAACGGACGCUAAUACCGCAUACGUCCUACGGGAGAAAGCAGGGGACCUUCGGGCCUUGCGCUAUCAGAUGAGCCUAGGUCGGAUUAGCUAGUUGGUGAGGUAAUGGCUCACCAAGGCGACGAUCCGUAACUGGUCUGAGAGGAUGAUCAGUCACACUGGAACUGAGACACGGUCCAGACUCCUACGGGAGGCAGCAGUGGGGAAUAUUGGACAAUGGGCGAAAGCCUGAUCCAGCCAUGCCGCGUGUGUGAAGAAGGUCUUCGGAUUGUAAAGCACUUUAAGUUGGGAGGAAGGGCAUUAACCUAAUACGUUAGUGUUUUGACGUUACCGACAGAAUAAGCACCGGCUAACUCUGUGCCAGCAGCCGCGGUAAUACAGAGGGUGCAAGCGUUAAUCGGAAUUACUGGGCGUAAAGCGCGCGUAGGUGGUUCGUUAAGUUGGAUGUGAAAUCCCCGGGCUCAACCUGGGAACUGCAUUCAAAACUGUCGAGCUAGAGUAUGGUAGAGGGUGGUGGAAUUUCCUGUGUAGGGGUGAAAUGCGUAGAUAUAUGAAGGGAACACCAGUGGCGAAAGCGGACCAC
rnacentral:rRNA from 1 species